ensembl:lncRNA
AACGGCUGGCUGAAGAUCACAUAGCUAGUAAUUAUGGAGCUGGGACUGAACCCAGGCCUAACUCAUUUGAGAGCAUAACAAAUACCUAAGAUAAACAGCUUCUAACUUGCCCAGAUGACCAUGGGAAAUGAGGAAAAAUUGGAAACUAAGGAUAACUAUGUUGUUCCUGGUCUGAGUGACGUGGGGAAUGAAGAUCUGAUUAUCAAGGUCCUGGGUUUAUCCUAAGGCUGUUUCACACCAAAGCUCUACAGGAAGGACACCAAGUAGCAAAAAAAUGCAUGUCAAAUGGGAGAAACAAAGUAGUUUUCCUUGGCUCUGUGUUAUGAGCUGGAUCUAAAUACUCCAGAAUCAAGGAAGCUAUAAUGCCUGCUCUUCUUCUAAAGCUCAAAGCCGAAUUUCAGAACUCACCUAAGAAUGAAACACAAAGCCUCUCAUGCCCACAUCAGACAUGAAGAGAGAUUGUGUCCUUCAAAGAUUAUUAGAAAGACAAGGGAUAUCUCAGUGGCUUUCAAUCUGUGCUCUUAAGGAACUCCCAGUUUUAAAGCAUAGACCAUGAGCAGGGAUGAGCACUGUCUUUUACAAGCUGUUCUCUGAGUUUUAUUAAAUAUCAACAGAAGUUCAACAAUGUGAGAGAGACUUCAAACAUAAUCACUGCUGUUAGAAUAAGAGGAACAACCAGGAGCAAGACAACGUUACCCAUGCCAAGUCCUCAAUAAUCCUGAUGCAGAGCAGUCUGCAUGAAAAUUAGGACAAUUAUCUACUGUAAAUUAAUGUACUUUAAUAUUCAACCUCUAAUACACACGUAUUGCUUUGUUUUCACAGGAUUAAAUGAAUUGAAGGGAUUAUAAAUCCAUAUGCAGUGAUAAAUUUCUAGUAUUGAUUAAGCACUCAUCAGACAGGCCUCCUGCUAAGUGCUGUGCUUAUAUGAGUAAACAAGACAAAGUCCAGUCCUCAGAAAACCUGACAUUUACUACGUGUUAACAAACCAAGUCUCUGAGGAUGGGGAUGUAGACUUGAUUUUGAAUGAGCAAUUCCAGUGAAAGAAACAAGUCAUCCAGUUCUGGUUCUAAGAAAAGUAAUGGGUACAUGAGAGCACUGAGUGGAGCAUUCCGUAGGGAAGAAAUGGUAUAAAAAAAAGGAUUAAGGUUAAAUCAAAAUGUAGAACUAAAAGUAGUUUGAUACAUAACUACAGGUAGAAUUGUAUGUAUUCAUUUUCUGUUCACUUGUUUUUUUGAGACAGGGUCUCCCUUUGUAGUUCAGGCUGAACUUGAGCUUACUAUGUAGCCCAGCAGCUAGCCUGGAACUCACAGUGAUCCUUCUGCCUCAGCCUCCCAAGUGCUGUGAUUACAGGCAUGCAUGACCAUACCUGGCUUUAUUAAUAUUUAAUAAAAUUGAUUUGCUAAAAUUUAACAUCCAUUCAUGAUUUUUAAAUGCUAAAAAAGUUAGGUAUAGAAGAACAUCCCUCAACAUAAUUCACUCCAUAUAUAAUAAGCCAAUAUCUAACAUUAUAUUAAAUGGAGAAAAGCUGAAAACUUCCUAACAUCUGGAAUGAAACAAAAAUACCCACUUUUCACCACUUUUUUUCAACAUAGUUUUGGAAAUUCGAGCCUGAUCAAUCAGGCAAGAGAAAUCAAUAAAGAGCAUCCAAACUGGAAAAGAG